UACGGGGGGAGCAAGCGUUGUUCGGAUUUACUGGGCGUAAAGAGCGUGUAGGCGGCCAGACAGGUCCGUUGUGAAAACUCGAGGCUCAACCUCGAGAUGUCGAUGGAAACCGUCUGGCUAGAGUCCGGAAGAGGAGUGUGGAAUUCCUGGUGUAGCGGUGAAAUGCGCAGAUAUCAGGAAGAACACCUAUGGCGAAGGCAGCACUCUGGGACGGUACUGACGCUGAGACGCGAAAGCGUGGGGAGCGAACAGG
rnacentral:rRNA from 1 species